GACGAGAUCCUGGUACUCACAGUGCAGCUGGACCCCCGGACCAGUAGCGCUAGCAGCGGCGGCGGCGUGCCGCCGGGGCAGGACGGCUCCAACAGCCCGCCCGGCGCCUGGGACCAUCGCGACCUGACCACGGUGGUGGACGACGAACAGCGGCUGUACUUCCGUGUACGGCCGGAGGGCACGGGGCCGCCGCUGCCGGACGGCACUCGGGCGCCUGUGUACCGGCGGCUGUUGUUCAGUGAGCCGGCGGUGAGGCGGGCCGCGGUGGGGCGUGUUUGCGGGGGUGGGAUGGGGUCGAUUUACAUUCAUGAUUGGUUAAGGAUGUGAGUGGGGGGAAAGAGGGGCUGUAAAUACCAAACGAAACCGAACCCAAUGCACAAAGAGCGAGGGGGGGCAGGAGGGAACUGUUGAGGGUGUCACAGGCGUGUGGCUGAUGGGACAGAAAUCGGGUUACAGAGGUGGGGGUGAGCUAGGGUACGUGCCACUAGAGGCGAGGGACGCGGGUGAGGCGGUGGUGGGUGUGCACGGACCUGUGCCGUUGAGGGUCGUGGACUUGACACGGAGAGACUCCCAAUUGGAAGUCUGUACGGCGGCUGUGUACAGCCCAGCAGCCACUACCACCACCACCACCACCACCACCACCACCACCACCACCUGCGACCAUGGCUGAGCCGCCCGCCUGCAUCUAGCCACCUGCAUGUGCACACCUGCGUCUACGCCUGCGCCGCACACAUAUCCCUCACACACACAGGACCCUCAGGAGGUGGCCGCGCUGGAGACCGGGGACCUGGUGUACCACCGGGGUGUGGAGCGCCAGCCAUGGGCAGCGAGGGACCCGGCGCGGCGGCGAUGCUGCAGGCGUGGCAGGAGUGAGGAGUGCAGCGGGGUAUGCAGCGGAGGAUGGGAUGUGAAGUUGUGGGGGGAGGGCGGGGGAGGGGGCCGUGGGCCGAGAGGUUUUGCGCGGGCGUAGCAGGAGGAGCGUAGGUGGCUCCAAAGGCCGAGGGGCUUGCGGGUGUCUUGUUGCUAGGGCGCUGGGAAGACAAGGGACGGCAUCGAGGUGAAGCUGGACGCUGUGUUGGUGGCACGCCUUGUGUAGUUGGUCACAAAUCUAGGCUCCAACGCUUGCACCGGUGCGUGCGUGUGCGUCUGUGUGUUUGCGAGUAGGUGCCACCAUACCGGCUAGUGAGUUGAGACUCGGAAGAGUCCGCUGCAGCCCAUUUUGAUUUACCGUAUGGCAGAUUUGUGCAGGUUGGCAUCUUUUGCAUCGCUGUUGUGUUGUCAACCCAUGACUCCUGAGCCUAAUUACCGUAUGUGCAUUGGUUUAGGUGCCGAGACGUGGCGUGGCGUGUAGGGUCGUCGUGUGAGUUUUGACAGUCACGCGUUGUCUCUUCUUGAGGGGAUGCGUGCAUUGGGGUAGUAUUGCAAUGGGCCCAUGCCGGCCUAACAGUAGGGAGCGGAUUUCAUUGCUUGAUGCCACACAAUGUAAGACUAGUACGUUGGAGACAUCGUUGGGGACGUGCACUUCCCUGCGCGUUCUCCCAAUGUGGGUCCGUUUGCUGUGUGUUGUAGCUACGGCCGCAGACGUGGUGUGCGUAGUAGCCGGCGACCCCCGCCGAUGCAUAAAUUGUUGCACAGCAAGAUAAGUCAUUGCGCUGUAUGCGCUGUGUUGAGGCGUGUGGGCUAGAAAGUAGAAACACGUGUGGGCUAGAAACAUGUGCAUGCUGGUGUGUGCGGUGGGCAGUGGACGCAUGCAGCCAUGCACCCGAUGGGGCAGAACACACGUGUGCAGUAGGUGACACGUGUGGCGGCUGAGGGCGGCAGCUGCAGCUGUAGCUGCAGAUGCAGAACUGCAGGCAGCGGCGGGCGGAGCGGCCUGUCAGCAUACCGGUAGUAGCAGUUUGAUAGUGACGCCGGCGUUCAGGGAGGGCUUGUACAUGGAUUCAUUAUUGCAGCGCCGGCUUGCGACAGGAACCCGCCCGUGAUGUAACACACGUAAACGGACGGUGAUGCGCAAAUUAUGUUUUGCCGUGUUGGUUCGUGUGCAAAAGCGCCCGGCAGACGCAGAGCUCCAGCGUGUGGGGUGACCGGUGACAGGUGAAGCGGAGUGGAGCGCUCACGUCGUAACGCCGUUGCCAUGGCAGUCCGGGGUCAAGACUGACGUAAUCGACUUUGUUGUGCGCCUGUGCACCCUGAAAUGCAGACAGACAACGCAGGUAAGCGACCGCGUGUCAGAGGAAGUCCGACGCGGGGUCGCGGGGAUGGGGUCGCGGGGGUGGGGUCGCGGGGACAUUUUACUGCUUGGCCAGUGUGAGUCCUGCUUGUAAGGCGGGCGCCGGCUGUGGUGGGCCUUGGCUGCAUCAGAGGCCCAUAACGAACUACGAAUGCAUCCCAACAUUGAGGCCAGCGUGAACAGCGCGUGGCGAACUCGCUGACAGAUCGCGCUUUGGAUUCGGCCCGAGGAGUCUGUGAUGGUCCAGGCGUACGUAGUGUGACCAUGCCGUUUGGCUCAUAUUGCUGUUAGCUGCGCACUCCAUAGCUACUCCAUCUUUCUUAGUCAAGGCAGUUACAGGGGCCCUGCGACUUCGCGCCUGUAGCUUCGCGACUUCUCAUUGCCCACAAGGCUGGACCAUUUGAAAUUUACAUUACGCUAACAAGCUAUUGCAUUGAGAGGACAGGCAACUAGAGUAGUCGCGGCGGGCUACGAAUUCGGUCCAUUCCUGGACGGGCGAAAAUGCAGGCCGGCAUAGAGUCCCGGCACACCACAUCUCUAUAAGCGCCAGCAGCCAAGUAGCCAGAACUAGGCGCUGCUGUGGGCGUACAGGCGCCCACCCCCCUCGGGAGAACUUCCUUUUCUCAAGGACAAAUGCGAGAUGGCCCCGCUUCUGCGCAUGGGUUUACAGAAUUUCAGCUGGUCUCCACCUUGGAACAACGACGGCGUUGCAGCGCCUGGGAGUCCCGGGCCCGCCCGGCAUGGGCAUGCUGCACCCCCCGUCGACUGGGCCUCGCCUUGUUGCUAGCAGUUGUGGCUGUGUGCUGGCACCCUCCAGUAGUGGAGGCAGGGGCCAAACAUAAACAGUUAGCUGGCAGUCGGCAAAAGCGCCCGCCUCCGCGCCCGACGGUCCUUGUCCGGCAUCGGUUGCCCCCUCCGGCCAAAGGUGGCAAGCCCUCCUCGCGUACGGUCCCGCCCGCGCGACGGCCGUCUCCGAGCAAUGGCACCGCACCACCUGUUACACCACAGCCACCAUCACCAGCGCAGCAGCCCCAGUUCCAGCCACCAACACCGGGCGCCAGCUUUCCCAGCCCCCCGCGGCAGCAGCCCGUGCCCCCGCCCCCCGCUGCAGGCCCCGGCCCCAGCCCCAGCCCCAGCCCCAGCCCCGGCGCCAGUCCCAGUCCCAGUCCCAGUCCCAGUCCCAGUCCCAGUCCCAGCCCACGGGCCGCCAGCCCACCGCCUCCCCACCCAAGCCCUAGUCCUAGUGGGGCGCCCGCGCCGACACCUCCGCACGGGGAGGCAACGUAUGGGCCCUACACGUCGCGCACAGGUACGUCGCGAGGAGACGGGGGGAUGGGUGGGAGCACCCGCCCCCUCAGUCGGGGCGCACCGAACACACACAUACAUAUGCUUGCAUUAGCACUUGACGAUAACCAGACAGGGCUUCUUUGGUACUGUCCCUCUGUCCUGAUGGUUGGGUCAUCUAUUGGCGAGGGGCCGGGUGACGGGGUGUGGCGGGAGGGGCCUGCGCGGCGGGCAGCGCCCAAACGGCACACGCCCCUACACACGUGGCAAACAGGGCCGCCAGGCCCAUACCUACGACAUCAAUCCCCGACCCGACUCCCUUUGAUCCGCGCAGAGGGCGACGAGAUCCUGGUACUCACAGUGCAGCUGGACCCCCGGACCAGUAGCGCUAGCAGCGGCGGCGGCGUGCCGCCGGGGCAGGACGGCUCCAACAGCCCGCCCGGCGCCUGGGACCAUCGCGACCUGACCACGGUGGUGGACGACGAACAGCGGCUGUACUUCCGUGUACGGCCGGAGGGCACGGGGCCGCCGCUGCCGGACGGCACUCGGGCGCCUGUGUACCGGCGGCUGUUGUUCAGUGAGCCG
rnacentral:lncRNA from 1 species